UGCGUAGGUGGGCAGGUAAGUCAGUGGUGAAAUCUCUGGGCUUAACCCGGAAACUGCCAUUGAUACUAUCUGUCUUGAAUACCGUGGAGGUUAGCGGAAUAUGUCAUGUAGCGGUGAAAUGCUUAGAUAUGACAUAGAACACCAAUUGCGAAGGCAGCUGGCUACACGAAUAUUGACACUGAUGCACGAAAGCGUGGGGAUCAAACA
rnacentral:rRNA from 1 species